CACUUUCUGUCCGCGACCCCGGCCCCUAGGUUUCCUAGUCCCGGCUCCGUUACCCCCUCAGGCCUAAGGCUGGGACCCCUCCCCGUCCCCGGUCUUGGCCCAGCCCCCUUCAACAGAUGGUCCGCCCCGACCCCUCCUCCUCGUCCCGCCCGGCCCUGGCAGGCCCCGCCCCCUGCGGCCUCUACCUUUGACGUCUUCCCCCUGCAGGUGGCGGGGGUCUGCGACCGAAUGCCGGCGGGACUCCGGGUCAGGGCUUCUGGCGGGCCCUGCGGGGGGCAGCGAGGUGACCGUGAACCUGCGGCUCAUGGCGCUGAAAGGGGCCAGGCGGCCGCGGCGAGGGCCGGUAUCGCACAAGUGGCUGCAGCCGGGCUCUAGGAGGGAGAAAGAGCUGAUCCCCCCCACCCGCCCCCUGCCAGACGCGACGCUGCGCAGGGUCCUAGUGCCCGCUGUGCUGAGGGUUCCUGAAUCUGGCCACUUCGCUGGGAGGCCCUGGGCUCCCCAGUGCCACCCGAAGGGCCUGAGGAGGCCAUCUGCAGAAUCUCACUCUGUCGCCCAGGCUGGAGUACAGUGUCAUGAUCUUGGCUCACUGCAGCCUCCACCUCCCAGGUUCAAGCAAUUCUCCUACCUCAGCCUCACAAGUAGCUGGGAUUACAAGCACAGUGCCUGGCACAUUGUCGGCACUUGAUGACUGUUGUCUAAUAAAUAAGUUUCCAUGCAAACCACCUGUGUCCUGUACUGAAGGAGAAACAACUUCCAGCCGGGGAGGCAGGAAAUCUGGGUCCUGGUCUUGGUUGCAUCCCUGACUUCCUAAAUGACCUGGAGAAGGCCUCUGCCUCUACUGGGAUCUUGUCUGUGCUGGGGCAUUUGCUUCCAUUUCCAAGGGCUUUAUCUUCCUCGCUCAGAUUUUGACCAAUCACUAAGAAGAACCUAGCGUGUGUCUCACGAAGGGACCCUCCUCAGCCCUCACCUUGGUACUGGAAGACGUCGUGCGUGUCCAAAGGGACCCCGGGGAACAUCCGGUCUACCUCGCUGGCGCUGCGGGGAUCCACCAUCUGCGCCUUCACGUUGAACCUGCGGGCAGGCGCGGAGGAGACAGGUGCUGAGCCGGCCAGCGCGCGGACGGACGGCGCCCGGGCUCCCCCUGCGGGCGGCCGCGGCGGUGCUCACCUCCAGACGCGCCGCCCGCUGAAUAGCAGCAUCUUCCCUGCGCCACGCCGGAGGGCCCCGGUCACCUGGGCCACGUCGGCGCCCAGGCCCAGCUUGUCUAGACGCCUCGGGCCCAGCACCGACGCGCCUGUGUACACCCACACCUGGCGCCCUGCAGGGAAGGAGGGUCACAUCGGUCUGGAGGCGCAGAGAGAGCACGUACUCUUCUAGAACGCGAGGAGGGAGAUCCCGGCGAAGCCUUUCCUAGCCCACGUGCCCGCAGUCCCUGCACCCCAGGAGCAGAGGCGCUGGGUAGAGCGGCGCGAGGGCAUGGAGAGGAAAGGGCAGAAACUCAGCAGUCCCUACGUUUGCUAAACUGAGUCCGCCAGGGGGCGUAUUUUUCUAAAACGCACAAGACGUUUCCUGGGUUAUCGACGGCCUCUUGAGCCUCCUUGACUGAUGGGGAUUGACAGGGAGGCGUAGAAGGUAACCAACCAGAGAAGAAGAAAAGCUUCUUGGAGAGCGGCUCCUCAAAGGCCGAGUCCAGCUUGCGGGGCAACGCGGGCCACGUGUCGGCGAUAAGGAAGGGGCCCUGCAGCCGGCUCCCCCUGCGCUCAGAGAAUCGCCAGUACCUCCUGAGAACGCGAAGAGGGAAAGGACGGGCUCUGAGCCUUGGACCCAGGGCCAGUGGGCAGGAAGGGACGGGCAGUCCCUCCGCGAAGCCCCCUUCCGCAUCCACACAUCCCUGCCUCCUCACCCAUCCUUGAACAAAUACAGCUGGUUCCCGAUCUC